rnacentral:rRNA from 1 species
GAUGAACGCUGGCGGCGUGCCUAAUACAUGCAAGUCGAGCGAACAGACGAGGAGCUUGCUCCUCUGACGUUAGCGGCGGACGGGUGAGUAACACGUGGAUAACCUACCUAUAAGACUGGGAUAACUUCGGGAAACCGGAGCUAAUACCGGAUAAUAUAUUGAACCGCAUGGUUCAAUAGUGAAAGACGGUUUUGCUGUCACUUAUAGAUGGAUCCGCGCCGCAUUAGCUAGUUGGUAAGGUAACGGCUUACCAAGGCAACGAUGCGUAGCCGACCUGAGAGUGUGAGAGGCCCACAGGGGAGGAGAACACGGCCCAGACCCCACAGGGAGGAGGCAGGAGGGAAUGUGAGGCAAUGGACGAAAGUCUGAACAAGACAAGCCGCGGGAAUGAAGAAGGGUUGAGGAUCGUAAAGAUCGGUUGUAAGAGAAGAACGAGGGAGAGAGGGGAAAGUGCACACUGGGACGGGAUCUUACCAGAAAGGGACGGCUAAAUACGUG